AACGGCUGCCUUCACAUGGUGUCCGAAAUAUUAAAACUGGUUUAAACAACAAGGAGAAGCUGGGGCGGCAUUUUGCACGAUAGCCGAAUUGCAGAUAUUUUAUUGCUGUUCUCGUUUACUGUACAGUAUUCCUUUAUUACCUUGUGUGUGAUUGUGUACCCUACAUGAAGACGGACUCGAUGUGACGUGACACGUUUUGACAGGUGUUGUGUCAACUUCAACUAGGAGUCAGCCACGUGGAAGGAUCAGUGCUGUAUUAUUUGUGUUCAUUCAACAGACCGUAUCACUUGCAGCAUUUUGACUGUGAGAGGACUCUCCACCACCACAGGGACGUUCCACAUAUGAAGUCGUCUCCAAUCAGAACAAGCUGUCCUAGUUGGAUUUGCACGGAUUUGCUAAUUAAACAAACCUCAGCGGACACAGGAUGUCAACCGGGUCUGCUUGUGUGAAAAUGAGAGAGAGAGAGAGAGAGAGAGAGACUUGGGAGAUAUAGCAAUAAAGAAAAAACAACGAACUGGGAAAAAAAGGAGUGGGAUCAGGAGUCAGGAGCAGGAUGUUGGCUGCAAGCUCACAAUACAUCAGAGAGAGUUUUGCCACAUUAUGAAACCGCUUCCAAUUGCGCUGAGCACCGGUCCCCACUACGCCUCUGUUCCUUAACAGAGGUUUGUCAUCAGCCAUUCACUGAGGAUCAGUGGACGCUGACUGAAGCCUGCAGACAAAGGGUUGUCUGCCUUUAAGGUGAGGCAGGUCGCAUACAUUCCCAACAUAACAAAGGAAAUACACAUGAUGUCAUCCUUGAAAACUUAAAAGGCAUCUGCCAGAUCACAUUAUCAAAUACAGAGGACGAUGAACUGCAUCAAAUCUCCAUUCAUUCACCUAUGAUGAAGCGGCAGAAAGAGGACAAUGAAAGCAAAGUACUCACUGUACAAGAGGGAAGACAGACACAAGGUAUUCCUCCGGCUGGGAUUUGGUCUCUUUCUAUUUCCCUCCGUGCCUGUCCUCGUCUCUCCUCCCGCCUACUCCCCCUUUCUUCUCACCACAGCAAGAUGCUGCCUGGACCAGUGCUCGUUGUCAUGGUAACCCAGACUGGGGGGGAUUCUCACGUGACUGUUUCUCCCUGGGCACUGAUUGGUCUGACGCAUUUAAGGGGAGGAGGGAGGGAUGGAUGGGGAGGAGGGGUUGGGGCGGAUGAUGUCACUCGCCCACCGGUUCACAAAUGGGAGGGAUCCUCACUCAUGGCCGUCUGCAAGCACACUCAGACACAAUGGGUGUCUCUUUAAGGUGGGGUUGAGCUGAAGUGGUGCUAUUAGAUGGUCAGGGAUGAUCCUACUCGACUCACUGACUCAAAGGACUUCUGGCUGGCUGGUCUGAGGUGUCUGGCUCGCCUGUCCCUGCACUGUUUGCUCUCAUCUGCGAUGUUGCCACUGAAAUGCGCUCCAGGACUCCAAACUGCCGGGGGCCCAGAAUGCAGAAAUAACACACAAGUGUUACAAGACAUACGAGAGCCGCCAUAUGUGGCGGCUUGACCUGAUGACCUACCACACUUCAACCUCUCCUACAGAGGCUGCAGGGGACUAUUUAUAGCACUGCAGAAAGCAGCCCGAUGCAUAACUGCUGCUAUUCACACAGUAACAUUCGUACUGCAGACAAAGACAAAGUGAAACAAAGGAAGCUUAGGUCACUGAAACAUACAAUCCAGAGCACACUGCCAUUUCUGUUCCCUUUGAUAACAAGUUAUGACCUAAAUGGAUUUCCUGAAUUAAGAGAUUACCUCAAUAAUACACACAUUAUGCGUAUAGCUUCGACAGUGAUAAAGAUGCAAAAACAAACACAGCACCACGGACAUGUAGCACCCAAAGUUUCAUAAGCGCCUUGCUGUCAUACAUUUUUUAAGCGUUUUACAGACUUGAAAGCUGAGGAGAAAACUUGGCACUAGAGCUGCAGCAAUGAAAGCUUGAGUGAAACCUUCCAUGUUCAUCGACGCAAUAAAAUAUUUCAGAAAGAGAGCGUGGGUUUUUUACAUCCCAUUUGAGGGAAAGAAGUUAUCUUUCAAUUUCACGCUCAUUCCCAACGAUGACACAAGUAUUCUUGGUCCAGGCAUGUUGUCCAGACUGUUGUAUAACGGUCUGGGAUCGGUCCAGCUCUGCCAGACAUGAGAAAUGAUCAUGUCCUAGUAGGAUCCGAUGUUCGUUUAUUCAAAGCUGAUGUCACGUGUUGCCUUUGCAACACAAAAAUAUGUCUCAAAAGUGUCAAAAUGUCCUGAUGGACAUUUUGACACUUUUCUCACUUUGGACAAAGAUCCUGACACCUCAUAGCUUUGGGUGUGUCAUUGUAUUCAGUACACAGCAAUUAUACACACCAAUUAAUAAAUACACAUCUUCCUCCGGCAUGUGUUUUGAAAUGUUUUUUAUAAAUAGAACUAGAACUAUAAAAUAUUAUGUGGGAGUCAACUAAAAACACCCAAAUGUUUCUUCUUUUCCAUGCGAAAAAAUCCUCAUAUAGGAUCUAGAACAUAUUUCCACUGUGGAUCUAAAACAAGUAACUGUUUGAUGUCUUGAAUAUCCAUUUUUGCUCUGGAUUAUUCUCUUAUCCUCGUCUACUGGAGCACAGAGGCUGUCUGAAUCAAUCAGAAAUGCAGCUCAACCAUCGUAGAAGAAACCAGAAAUAUGCUUUAUGCAGACAUGUUUCUUCUAAUGCCAUAACUGGCCAGAAAGCUUCAUCAAUAAAACAUGCACCGCUGUCUCAAUAGCCAUCUGUUUGGAGACAGCAGGCACUGCACACAUACAUUUGAUAUUCACUCUACUUAAAAAUGUUUUUUAAAUAAAAUUCAAUAAUGCUAUAGAGUUUGUAUAUAAACACAAUAAAAGAAAUAUGUCCAAUUACAGGUUUGAAACGUCAGUAAAAUCAUCCACAUGCAUACAUACUACAGUAAGUCUCGGUGCAACAGAACAGCAUGUUGGUGUCUGCAUGUGUGCGUGGUGGUCGGAGUCAUUACAGACUGUAGAUUUAAGACAGUUAAAGCAAGUUCCCCGAAAACACUGACACAACAUGAGAGUUCAUAGGCUGCAGUGUUAGUCAGUCAUUACCCCAUUAAGACGUAUGCUCUCUCUGCCCUCUCACUACGAGCAUAAAUGGUGGAGGAACUGAUGAGAGCAGUAAUACGAACAGACGGUAUCAUCAUGGUCACGGCCUGCCAUCAGGAACCUGUAGCGGGUCAGUGAGCACUUGGAGUAGGAGGAGGAGGAGAGGAGGAGAGAGGGAGAGAGAAAUCUGACAUUCAAAUUUGAGUAAAAUACUUUUUACGGUCCACCGUCAUAUAGAGUGUUAGCACGCUAGCAUGCUGAUAUUUAGCAGCUCCACCGCCAUAUAGAGUGUUAGCACUCUAACAUGCUGAUGUUUAGCAGCUCCGCCGCCAUAUAGAGUGUUAGCACGCUAACAUGCUGAUGUUUAGGAGCUCCACCGUCAUAUAGAGUGUUAGCACGCUAACAUGCUGAUCUUUAGCAGCUCCACCGCCAUAUAGAGUGUUAGCACGCUAACAUGCUGAUGUUUAGCAGCUCCACCGCGAUAUAUAGAGUGUUAGCACGCUAACAUGCUGAUGUUUAGCAGCUCCACCGCCAUAUAGUGUUAGCACGCUAACAUGUUGAUGUUUAGCAACUCCACCGCCGUAUAGAGUGUUAGCACGCUAACAUGCUGAUGUUUAGCAGCUCCACCGCCAUAUAGAGUGUUAGCACGCUAACAUGUUGAUGUUUAGCAGCUCCACCGUCGUAUAGAGUGUUAGCACGCUAACAUUUUCUAAUUAGCGCUAAACACAAAGUACAACUGAGGCUGACGGAUUCUUUCAGAGAGCAAACUUUAGCCUAUUGGUGGCGCUAGAGAAAAAGGCAGGGGAUCAUUAAAGUCCUUAUUUUCUGAAGACCAAAUAUCUGUACAAUACAGCCCAUCCAAUAGUUGGUAUUAAUAGUAUUCAUUCAUCACCCGUGAGGCGGGCAGAAGGUGUCCAGCCUUCUUAAGAAGCUAAUCGUUUCAACCCACAGAUGAACACAAUGUGAAAUGUCUCGGUAAUAUUUUCAAAAAAGGUCUUCCCAGAAUCACAUCAGUAUUUUAGGUAACAUGCAUCCAGCUCGUGCUGUAACUUGAACAUUUAAUUUCCUCCAGAACAACGAGUGCUUUGGUAGGCUGCCCCUGAGAGCGAGGAAAGACCAAUGAGGUCAGAUUUCAGGAGGUCUGGCUGUGUCUGUGGUCAGUCUGAGCCGGUCUAAAUCCAACUGUCUGUGUUUAAGAGACCUCAAACCAGGGCUCUGUGACGACUGGUCAGGGCGUGCCACGCCAGACACAUUUCUCAUACUGUGAGCUGUUUACGGUGUCCGUUCACUGCUGGAAUGAUCGCCUUUAAGUUCAACUCUGCCUAGAUGUUAAAUGAGUCAAAAGUCAAGGCCUUUGUCCACGACCCCUUCAUGACCCUCAGCAACACAGGCGCUACUGGUCGUGCGGCUGUGAGCGUAUUGACUCUGGGUGUUUAAUGGUUAAAGGUAAAUUGCUGCAGAUGUCUGAAUUGGAUUGUCUCUGAGUGGUUCCCAUGCUGAGCGGUGAAGGUGUCCAAAUCAAAUAUAAAUUUUUCGUUUGCUUUCCACAGCACACUGUUUAAGACGCUAUGUGCUUAUUCUUAGAGGACCAGUUCACGCAAAUUACAAAACAAAUCUCACUUACCAGCAUUUUUCUUUUUGUGCUUCCACACCAAUAAAAUACAGGUGCAUUUAAUUUGGUUUUCUGUACACACAGCACUGAAAAAUUAUAUUUAAAGAAGACAAAGAGUCUUCUCGCUACUGGCCCUGUACUUGUGGAGUAGCUGUAACAUGCUGAUGUUUAGCAGGUAAUUGUAUUAGUUAACAUGUUAACAUGCUGUCAUUUAGCACUAAACACAAGGUGCCACUGAAGCUGAUGGGGAUGUCAUUAGUUAGGUAUGAAAGGUUAAAGGGGACGUAUAAUAAUAGUCACUUUUCAGUUUUUGUGGGCUGCCUGGAUCAGAAAACAAAAGAAGCCAUUCAGAUUUUCGAGAGGUGCUGAAACUGAGCAUUUUAGAGGUACAGUAUAUACAUGUUCAGGUAUAUACAGACAAACAGUAUGGGAAAAUAGGGGUAAAGUAAAAAGAUGUGUGUUUAGUUUUUUUAGCUGAACCAAUAUUUAUACAGGAUUCAUUUUUGCAAAAGGACUUUCCAAAAGGCUGUAUUUCUGCACUCUGCUAUCACAGUCACUAUAGUGUACUCAGAAUGGAUCUUUCCAUAGUUCAUGUGGAAGACCAACAGGAUGCACAGCCGGUAAUUAACUGAGUGAAUCUCUGACUCAGUGAAUACAAUAAGAGCAGGACAGCUUUGAGUGGUCGGAGGUCAGAUAGGAUUUCUGAUGCGCUCCCAACAGCACAAUAAUGCUAGACAGCAGUUUUAAAACCACUCAGUGUAUAAGAUACUAAAUUGCACUACAUUUUCAAAUGCAAUAAAACAAUGAAUGCCUCUCGGCUGCGACUUUGUCUUGAUGAACAUUUAAGCCAGUUUUCACAACAGCGUUCCAAGGACGACAAUGAAAAUACGGAUCGUAAACACAUUUUCUGGUUCAGCGGGGCUUUCAAACCCUGCACUAUACAGCUCAUAUAAUGUCUUCUCACACAUCAUACAGGAAAAAGCAGUUUUAAGGUGUUAGCUCUGCUCAUUUAGGCCCUCAUUAAAAGGUUAAACACAUACUGUUCCAUUCACUCUAAUGACUGCUAAAGUAUGCUGGAUUCCUGUUUUACCCGUACUGUUUUCCCCUUCGACAGAAAGUAAUCUUAAAAUAACCUAGUCUUAAUUUAAUAGGAUCAGCCAUCAAGCCUGCCUUACUGAAGUCCAUACGCUGACACAGUAAAAACAUGCCAGACGGCAUGGAAAUGGGUAAUUGCACCUAAAUCCAAGGAAUUAGAUGGUUUAAUAAGGUGAAUUACAUCCACACGGUUUUACUGAAACUAGCCAUGACUUGAUGGUUCAGUUGACAACAACAGAGCAACCCAGAACCGGUCAACAUUAUGCAUAAUAUGUUGCAUGUUAACCUCGUUCAUUAGUUAUGAUAAUGGCUUGUUUUAGACGUCACGGGUCCAGUUAUGUAAUAGUAACACUCGGCUGAUUAAACUCAAUCUCUCUAUCUCUACUAUUUAUCCAGAACUUGGCAUAAAAAAAAAUGUGCAUGGUUUGUGUCAUGUUGAUUGAAAAAAAAAUAAAAAACAGCACAAAUAUCUGCAGAUGACACCCUCACAGUGUCAGACUGGAGGUCAAAAACUUGAGUCCUAUACCUAUGCAACAAUGGCUAAUAUGCAUUAAUAGAAAUACAGUAUACUUGAAUGUGAAUUAUGCACAUUACAAAGUGAAGUGCCAUCGGUUUUACCUGCCAAGCAUGACGAAGAGGGUUUAGUUAAGCAGCCCCUCAUCAUAACAAAUUCUGACUCCAAACUGAGUGUGCUUGUGACAGGAGCAGAAUAUUAAUUGUAGUCUGCUCUUCACUGCCAAGGUGCUCUCUCUUUCUCUCUGUCUCUCUCUCUCUCUGUAUCUCUCUCUCUCUCAAC